rnacentral:rRNA from 1 species
GACGAACGCUGGCGGCGUGCUUAACACAUGCAAGUCGAACGGAAAGGCCCUGCUUUUGUGGGGUGCUCGAGUGGCGAACGGGUGAGUAACACAUGAGUAACCUGCCCUUGACUUUGGGAUAACUUCAGGAAACUGGGGCUAAUACCGGAUAGGAGCUCCUGCUGCAUGGUGGGGGUUGGAAAGUUUCGGCGGUUGGGGAUGGACUCGCGGCUUAUCAGCUUGUUGGUGGGAUAGUGGCUUACCAAGGCUUUGACGGGUAGCCGGCCUGAGAGGGUGACCGGCCACAUUGGGACUGAGAUACGGCCCAGACUCCUACGGGAGGCAGCAGUGGGGAAUAUUGCACAAUGGGCGGAAGCCUGAUGCAGCAACGCCGCGUGCGGGAUGACGGCCUUCGGGUUGUAAACCGCUUUCGCCUGUGACGAAGCGUGAGUGACGGUAAUGGGUAAAGAAGCACCGGCUAACUACGU